AUGAGUGAUCCUAACUGCCUGAUUAUGAGUUGGAACGUGCGAGGUUUGAACUCGCCGGCACGGCGAGAAGUAGUUUUGGAGACGGUGGAGGCACACAAGCUGGCCAUCCUAUGCCUGCAGGAAACGAAAAUCGACGAGUGGAGUAGGGCUCUAGUUAGAGAGACUGGAGGAAGGCGGCUCGCCGACUGCGCCGUCCCCCCUGCCAUGGGCACAAGGGGAGGAGUCGCAAUCUUCUGGGACAGAAACAAAGUAGAGGUGCUCUCGCAGGCCGUUGGUUGCUUCUCAAUCACUGCCAAGAUCACCAUUAUCGCUAGCAGGGCUACAUUC
rnacentral:rRNA from 1 species